rnacentral:rRNA from 1 species
CAAGUCGGACGGGAUUGGAGAGCUUGCUUUCCAUGAGAGUGGCGCACGGGUGCGUAACACGUAUGUAACCUACCCAUAUCAGGGGGAUAGCCUCUCGAAAGAGAGAUUAAGCCCGCAUAAAAUCACAAUGCAGCAUUGCAUAAUGAUCAAAUAUUUAUAGGAUAUGGAUGGGCAUGCGGAACAUUAGCUAGUUGGUAAGGUAACGGCUUACCAAGGCUACGAUGUUUAGGGGAUCUGAGAGGAUGACCCCCCACACUGGUACUGAGACACGGACCAGACUCCUACGGGAGGCAGCAGUAAGGAAUAUUGGUCAAUGGACGGAAGUCUGAACCAGCCAUGCCGCGUGCAGGAAGACAGCCCUACGGGUUGUAAACUGCUUUUGUACGGGAAUAAACCUGCUUAUGUAUAAGCAGCUGAAUGUACUGUAAGAAUAAGGAUCGGCUAACUCCGUGCCAGCAGCCGCGGUAAUACGGAGGAUCCGAGCGUUAUCCGGAUUUAUUGGGUUUAAAGGGUGCGUAGGCGGCCUGUUAAGUCAGGGGUGAAAGACGGUAGCUCAACUAUCGCAGUGCCCUUGAUACUGAUGGGCUUGAAUGUACUAGAGGUAGGCGGAAUGUGACAAGUAGCGGUGAAAUGCAUAGAUAUGUCACAGAACACCAAUUGCGAAGGCAGCUUACUAUGGUAUGAUUGACGCUGAGGCACGAAAGCGUGGGGAUCAAACAGGAUUAGAUACCCUGGUAGUCCACGCCCUAAACGAUGAAUACUCGAUGUUAGCGAUAUACAGUUAGCGUCAAAGCGAAAGCGUUAAGUAUUCCACCUGGGGAGUACGCCCGCAAGGGUGAAACUCAAAGGAAUUGACGGGGGCCCGCACAAGCGGAG